GGAUAAAAGGUACUCCGGGGAUAACAGGCUGAUACCGCCCAAGAGUUCAUAUCGACGGCGGUGUUUGGCACCUCGAUGUCGGCUCAUCACAUCCUGGGGCUGAAGCAGGUCCCAAGGGUAUGGCUGUUCGCCAUUUAAAGUGGUACGCGAGCUGGGUUUAGAACGUCGUGAGACAGUUCGGUCCCUAUCUGCCGUGGGCGUAGGAAAAUUGAGAGGAGCUGCUCCUAGUACGAGAGGACCGGAGUGGACGAACCUCUGGUGCACCGGUUGUCACGCCAGUGGCAUGGCCGGGUAGCUAAGUUCGGACGGGAUAACCGCUGAAAGCAUCUAAGCGGGAAGCCUCCCUCAAGAUGAGUUUUCCCAUGAAGCCCGUUGAAGACUACGACGUUGAUAGGCAAGGUGUGGAAGCGCAGUAAUGCGUGAAGCUAACUUGUACUAAUUGGCUGAUUGUCUUGACCAUAUAAUCUGAG
rnacentral:rRNA from 1 species